UAUAAGAGGAAAGGAGAGAGAGAGGAAGUAAAGGUGAUAGAAGAGGGGAAGAGAGAAACAAUGGGGAGACAAAAGUAAGAAGAGAGAGUGUAUUUGUAGGGAAGACUUUUGAGUGACGGUGAACAGAUUGUAGAUAAAAGAUGAGAGAGAAGCGACGACGAUGAGAAGCAUCAGCGCUGUCAGAGCAUGUUCAAACCUCAGGGGCAGCCAGGGGUGAGUCAUCAGAGCUGCAGCCUGGAGGUUUUUGGACCUGUUCACUCACUGUCAACACCAACACCACCUGAAGGAGAACAGAUUCAGUCGUGGUUCUUUCACGAGUGGAACGAGAAGAAAGGCCUACACCGGUGGACACAUGAUGAAUUGCACUUCUGCUGCUUUGUCCCAGUUUAACCCAAUUUCUUCUUUCUUUCUUUUUUAAUACACUUUAAUUUACUACCAUAGCAGUCAGCUUUAUGCGAGGGAAUAAAGGUUUACUGCAGCAAAGAUUUACCACAGUGACACAAACUGACCACAUGAGGCAGCAGUGGACCAGCAGCAACUGUGUCCCCCCGCAAGCUAAAAUCACUCAUUUUCGGAAAAGUCCGUUCACUGCUGUAAACUGUAUAUUAUUGUAUAAAUUAAAUUAACAAAACUGCAGUUAUAAUCAUAUGCCCGUUGCCUUUGUUGUCAGGAUUGAACUUCAAGCUUUUCAUGUUUGAAACUUCCCAUAUUAGUAAAC